rnacentral:rRNA from 1 species
UAGGGAAUAUUGGACAAUGGGUGAGAGCCUGAUCCAGCCAUGCCGCGUGCAGGAAGAAGGCGUUAUGCGUUGUAAACUGCUUUUUGCCAGGGGAUAAAAAGACCGUGCGCGGUUAAUUGAAGGUACCUGGUGAAUAAGCCACGGCUAACUACGUGCCAGCAGCCGCGGUAAUACGUAGGUGGCAAGCGUUAAUCGGAAUUACUGGGCGUAAAGCGUGCGCAGGCGGCUUUGCAAGACAGAUGUGAAAUCCCCGGGCUUAACCUGGGAACUGCAUUUGUGACUGCAAGGCUGGAGUGCGGCAGAGGGGGAUGGAAUUCCGCGUGUAGCAGUGAAAUGCGUAGAUAUGCGGAGGAACACCGAUGGCGAAGGCAAUCCCCUGGGCCUGCACUGACGCUCAUGCACGAAAGCGUGGGGAGCAAACAGGAUUAGAUACCCCUGUAGUCCCUGAGCGGGCUGGCAAGGCGCAU